rfam:Mus musculus chromosome 7, GRC primary reference assembly.
AGGGGUGAGGCUCAGCUGGUAGAGUGCCCUUGCUUGUCAUGCAUGAAAGCCCUGGGUUCAAUUCCCAGCACCACAU